UACAGAGGGGGCAAGCGUUUAUUCGGAAUUAUUGGGCGUAAAGGGCGCGUAGGCGGCUUGGCAAGUGGAUGGUGAAAUCCCUCGGCUUAACCGAGGAACUGCCGUCCAAACUGCUUAGCUUGAGACCGGGAGAGGUGAGUGGAAUUCCCAGUGUAGCGGUGAAAUGCGUAGAUAUUGGGAGGAACACCAGUGGCGAAGGCGCUCACUGGACCGGUACUGACGCUGAUGCGCGAAAGCCAGGGGAGCAAACGGG
rnacentral:rRNA from 1 species